rnacentral:rRNA from 1 species
UACGUAGGUGGCAAGCGUUGUCCGGAUUUAUUGGGCUUAAAGGGUGCGUAGGCGGCUUUGUAAGUCAGUGGUGAAAUACUCUAGCUUAACUAGAGGGGUGCCAUUGAUACUGCGGAGCUUGAGUACAGAUGAGGUAGGCGGAAUUGACGGUGUAGCGGUGAAAUGCAUAGAUAUCGUCAAGAACACCGAUAGCGAAGGCAGCUUACUGGGCUGUAACUGACGCUGAUGCACGAAAGUGUGGGGAUCAAACAGG